AGAGCUCCCCAUUAAGGUGGGUGGGAUAGUAUAACAAUAUAUCAUUGCGUUGUUAUAGUAUUCCACCUUCCCUGAUGCCUUU
rnacentral:pre_miRNA from 13 species